AUUGAACGCUGGCGGCAGGCCUAACACAUGCAAGUCGAACGAGUGGCGGACGGGUGAGUAAUGUCUGGGAAACUGCCCGAUGGAGGGGGAUAACUACUGGAAACGGUAGCUAAUACCGCAUACCAUCGGAUGUGCCCAGAUGGGAUUAGCUAGUAGGUGGGGUAACGGCUCACCUAGGCGACGAUCCCUAGCUGGUCGGAGAGGAUGACCAGCCACCCCGGAAAGGAGACCCGGUCCAUACUCCUACGCGAGGAAGGAGUGGGUAAUAUUGGACAAUGGGGGCAAGCCGGAUGCAGCCAUGCCGCGUUUAUUAAGAAGGCCUUCGGGUUGUAAAGUACUUUCAGCGAGGAGGCGUUACUCGCAGAAGAAGCACCGGCUAACUCCGUGCCAGCAGCCGCGGUAAUAC
rnacentral:rRNA from 1 species